UCGAGAAAUUCGGGGAUUGCCGAUUAGCGGUCUUUCGGGAUUGCUUUUUGGUGAGAACCAACUUAAUCGCAGUGGCUUGAACCGGGCAAAAGUCGUAACAAGGUGGCUGUAGGUGAACCUGCUGCCGGAUCAUUAUCGAU
rnacentral:rRNA from 1 species